rnacentral:rRNA from 1 species
UACGAAGGGGGCUAGCGUUGUUCGGAAUUACUGGGCGUAAAGCGCACGUAGGCGGAUAUUUAAGUCAGGGGUGAAAUCCCAGAGCUCAACUCUGGAACUGCCUUUGAUACUGGGUAUCUUGAGUAUGGAAGAGGUAAGUGGAAUUGCGAGUGUAGAGGUGAAAUUCGUAGAUAUUCGCAGGAACACCAGUGGCGAAGGCGGCUUACUGGUCCAUUACUGACGCUGAGGUGCAAAAGCGUGGGGAGCAAACAGG